rnacentral:rRNA from 1 species
AAUAGAUACCCGGGUAGUCCACGCCGUAAACGAUGUGUGCUAUUAGUUCGAGGUAUCGACCCCUUGGGCUGAACAGCUAACGCGUUAAGCACACCGCCUGGGGAGUACGAGCGCAAGCUUAAAACUCAAAGGAAUUGACGGGGACCCGCACAAGCAGAGGAUGAUGUGGUUUAAUAUGAAGCUACGCGUAGAACCUUACCGAGGUUUGACAUCCCAGGAAGUCAGUCGAAAGACAGAUGUGCCUUUUGGAACCUGGUGACAGGUGCUGCAUGGCCGUCGUCAGCUCGUGUCGUGAGAUGUUGGGUUAAGUCCCGCAACGAGCGCAACCCUUAUUGUAUGUUGUAUUUUUCUAUACGAAACUGCCCGGGUCAACCGGGAGGAAGGUGGGGACGGACGUCAGGUCGGCAUGGCCCUUACACCUCGGGCCACUCACGUCAUACAAUGGCCGGUACAAUGCGUCUUGCCAAUCCGCGAGGGGGAGCUAAUCGCAUCAAAACCGGUCCCAGUUCGGAUAGCAGGCUGCAACUCGCCUGCUUGAAGUCGGU